GAGUGCGUAAUAGCUCACUAGUCGAGUGACCCUGCGCCGAAAAUGUACCGGGGCUGAAACAAUUUACCGAAGCUGUGGAUCCCUUAGGGGAUGGUAGGAGAGCGUUCUAUGUGCGCAGAAGGUGUACCGCAAGGAGCGCUGGAGUGCAUAGAAGUGAGAAUGCCGGUAUGAGUAGCGUAAGACAGGUGAGAAUCCUGUCCACCGUAAGACUAAGGAUUCCAGGGGAAGGCUCGUCCGCCCUGGGUUAGUCGGGACCUAAGGAGAGACCGAUAGGUGUAUCCGAUGGGCAACAGGUUGAUAUUCCUGUACUAGAGUAUUGAGUGAAGGAGGGACGCAGCAGGCUAACUAGAGCGUGCGAUUGGAAGAGCACGUCCAAGCAGUGAGGUGAGGACUGAGUCAAAUGCUUAGUUCUGUGCCACCAAGCUGUGACGGGGAGCGAAGUUUAGUAGCGAAGCUAGUGAUGUCACUCUGCCAAGAAAAGCUUCUAGCGUUAAUGAAUACUCUACCCGUACCGCAAACCGACACAGGUAGUCGAGGCGAGUAGCCUCAGGUGAGCGAGAGAACUCUCGUUAAGGAACUCGGCAAAAUGGCCCCGUAACUUCGGGAGAAGGGGCGCUGGCGAUAAGUCAGCCGCAGUGAAAAGGCCCAAGCAACUGUUUAUCAAAAACACAGCUCUCUGCGAAAUCGUAAGAUGAAGUAUAGGGGGUGACGCCUGCCCGGUGCUGGAAGGUUAAGAGGAGCGCUUAGACGUUUGUCGAAGGUGUGAAUUGAAGCCCCAGUAAACGGCGGCCGUAACUAUAACGGUCCUAAGGUAGCGAAAUUCCUUGUCGGGUAAGUUCCGACCCGCACGAAAGGCGUAAUGAUUUGGGCACUGUCUCAACGAGAGACUCGGUGAAAUUUUAGUACCUGUGAAGAUGCAGGUUACCCGCGACAGGACGGAAAGACCCCAUGGAGCUUUACUGCAGUUUGAUAUUGCGUAUCUGUUACACAUGUACAGGAUAGGUAGGAGCCAAGGAAGAGUGAACGCUAGUUUACUUGGAGGCGUUGUUGGGAUACUACCCUUGUGUGAUGGCUACUCUAACCCGGUAGGUUGAUCAUCUACGGAGACAGUGUCUGACGGGCAGUUUGACUGGGGCGGUCGCCUCCUAAAGUGUAACGGAGGCGCCCAAAGGUUCCCUCAGACUGGUUGGAAAUCAGUCGCAGAGUGUAAAGGUAUAAGGGAGCUUGACUGCGAGAGCUACAACUCGAGCAG
rnacentral:rRNA from 1 species